AGUGCAAAACACAGACACACACGCUCCCUCCCUCCCUUUCACUGAAUUAAGACCUAAAGGUUGUGUUGCCUAUCUACAUCUCUCGCUGAUAGCUAAACUACUGCUGUAACUAUUUAAUAGUUGGAGCGGGCUUCCCUGCUCUGGAAGGGAGACAGGCCCAGACAUGCCAGACGUUGUGGAAGGGAGAUGAGAAGGAAUCCAGAGGAGAAUCUACUUGUGCAGCUGGGGAGCAAAGCGUGAAAGCUGCAAACACAAGUGAGUGAGGGGAAAGGUGACUGAGUGUGGAUAGCUGCCUUUCCCUGAAGCCAGACUCCCAAGGGACGGCAUGUAGGGUAAGACCAUAUUUUCCCAAAAAGGAAAAUGGGACACCCGUAGGCUGCCCUCCCCGCACACACAGACAUGUGGCCGACCUAAGCCCUCCCUGCCUCCUGCCCUUGCAGGGCCAGCCUGAGGUCCCCUUCCCCACUGGUGCCUGGGGCUGGCCUGAGCCAUUCUGCCUCCUCCCUGUGACCCCCCCAGUCAGAGCCCCCUGCCACUUGCCCACAACCCCCCGGGUCCUCUUCCCCCAGGCACGGAGCUGGUCCAAGCCCCCACUUCACCCCUGUGCGCAGGGCUGGUCCUCCAAGCCCUGCUGCAUGCCUGCCUGCGCGGCUGGUGGUCUGAGCCCCCGCAGCUGCAUGCCCCCUUGUCUGCUCUCCCUAGCCCUCCCUCCAGCGCAGGGCUGACGUUGCCACUCUCCCGCCGCCCCCCAUGUUACUCCGCGCCCCGCUAGGGGUCCCACAUGCAGGGGGGAGUGUGUGUCGGCAGUGAGGUGAAACGAGGGGGUGAGCGGGGACCCCCUUCUCUGGGGGCUGCCCCCAGUGCCAGGCAGGGGGCACAGCAAGUGCAUGGAGGAGGUGGGGCACACCCUGCCCUGGCUUCUCACCCAUGCAAGGCGGGAGUGCUGCCCAGGAGACGCGGGAUGGCGGGGCAGGAGGGGCAGUGGAGCCUGGGCUGCUCCUAGGCACACUCUCGCUGCCAAUCCCUGGCGAUGCUGCUUCUGCUGGAGGAGGCAGCGAGGGAGAUUCCGGCGGGGGCAGGCUCUGGGGAGAGAGAAGGGGCAUGGCCGCUUGCUGCCCCCUCUGCUGGCUCUGUGCCGCGAUCCCAGAAAAUACGGGACCAUUUGCCCGUAUUUAACAGAAAGUCGGGACACCUGGAAGAAGGCUUAAAUAUGGGACUGCCCUGUUAAAAACGGGGCAUCUGGUCACCCUAAAGGACAAGAUGGCGUUAGUGUGAGCCAGGACAGGGUUUUCAGGCAAGCUGGGUUAUCUGCUCUUGCCAGCCGGGCCUUUCACAGCAUAUUCUAGUGUCUCUCAUUUCAGGAUCUAAUUCUGCUCCCCGGAGAGUCCUGCCCUGUGACACUGGCCUCACGUUCUUUGACUCAGGACGUAGCUAAAUCGCAGCCAGUUGUGCUAGGAACUCUUGUUCGGAGGAGAUGAUGCAUUUGACCCCUCUUGUCUGCCCCACGGCUGACCCUGGGAGUAGCUGGAAUGCAGCCACACGGCAUGUUUCUAGCCUGCAGUGAGACUGAGCUGAGCCUCUGUCUCAGAAAGCACCUGCUGCUCUCCGGUCCCGUCAGCCGGGAGCCCCACGUUCGAAACCCCUGCAAAGCUGUGGCCAGUGGGGGCACCUGAACGCUCCUGCUCAGCAAAGCGAUGCAGCCGCACUCUUCCCACCCUGGUGCCUCUUGGCUACUGUGCAGCAAGGUCUCUAACCCUCAGGCCUGGGCCACACGACAGAGUUAGGGUGACCUAACUGUAUAAGUGUCUGCACUACAAUGUUCCUCCCACUGAUGCAAGUCGUCCACUACACCCACCUAAUACUCCACCUCAGCAAGAGGCAUAGCGCUUAGUUCAAUGUAGUUAGGUUGACACAGUAGCAGUGUAGACACUGUGUUACUGACGUCAACUUUAGUGGCUUCCAGGAGGUAUCCCACAAUGCCUCACUGUGACCCCACUGGUCAUCGUUUUGAACUCUGCUGCUCGGCGAGCAGGUACACAAGAACAUAUAUCUUCCCCCGCCCCCCCCUUUUAAAGCCCCAUGAACUAUUGAAAUUCCAUUUCCUGCUUGGUCGGCAUGGAGAGCUCACGUAGCAACUGUCCAGCUGACCACGCCGGCUCCAUGCAGUAAACGUGCUCCUGCCUGGAGUGCGCAGGAGGUGGUAGAUCUCCUGGGUCUGUGUGGAGAGGAGUCUGUGUCGGAACUUGGAUACCUAUGGCCAGAUCGCUCAGGGCAUGGGGGAGAAGGGCUACAACAGGGACACGUAGCAGUGCCGUGUGGAAAUCAAGGAGCUGCGACAGGCGUACCUGAAGGCAAGGGAGCCAAACAGUCACUCUGGUGUGCCACUUCUACGAGGAGCUGCAUGCCAUUCUCAGCAGUGACCCACCGCCAUCCCCAAGGUCCUUGUGGAUACUUCAGGGGAGCUGGAGUCACAGGCCACAGAAGCGAACCCUGAGGAGGAGGAGUAUGGCAGACAGAUGACUGGGCGGGGGUGUCCAGCAAGCCAGGACCUCUUUUUGACUCCUGAGCAGUCAAACCACUCCCAGCGGUCCAGCACUGGCGAGCCUGAUGCAGGGGAAGGGACCUCUGGUAAGUAUGCAGUUUGCUUCAGUAUUGCAGGGACACAUCUGUUCAGGUACUAUUUAUUUAAAUCAGGCUAGAAGAGGUGGUGAAAUAAACAGUGGAGGUAGAGUUGCUAUCUGCUUCUCAUUCCCCUGUACAGCUAGGCAUAGGGGGCCCUGUGGAACAGUUUGUUUAUGUGCACCAGGACGUCCCGUGAAUCCUCCAUAGAGAUCUCAAGGAAACUUUGCUGGAAGCAGUCUGCAAUCCUCUGCCAAAGAUCUCUGCGGAGGGCUGCCUUAUUUCUUCCACUGCAGUAGGACACUUUCCCAUGCCAGUCAGCAGGCACCAUUGCAGCACACAGACUAGCAGCAUAUAGACACAGUCUGCAGCAGAAUGUCCCCCUCUCCCCUGGGCCGUGCUCACCAUGGCGGGGACUGCCGCCGUGCUCUGUGAAUCCCAAGGAGAAGUGAGAAUGUUGUGCUUGUAACAAGUGUGGAUCAAGGGGAGUGAAUGCACUCACAAUAGUAUCUCUGUCCAUUGUUUCUUUAGCCGCUGCAAAUGUGGCCUUGAGGGUCUCUCAUGCCACACUGGUAGAGCGGCUUGACCAGAUACAGAGGAGAAAGAAAAGCACAAGGCAAUCCCGCGUUGAUGUCGGUGAAACGACCCUGGUGAUCCACCAGAGCUUCCAAUACCAUAGAAAAGUAGCCUUUCUGUUGAUGUAUUCCAUGGCAAGGUGGACUGGUGCCAAAAUCGGGCUAUGCAUGCCAUCUAUCAUCCCACCACAGCUUGGGAACAUCAUUGCUGCAAAACCAUCCACAGAAGGGCAACUGAUUUGGUGGAUGGGGGAAUGCAGUUGACAUCAUUUACCUGGACUUCAGCAAGUCUUCUGACACAGUCCCACAUGACAUUCUGAUAAGUCAGCUGGAGAAAUGUGAGCUCGGCGGAACUACUGUUAAGCUGAUACAUAAUUGGUUGAACAACAAAGAGUCACUAUUAAUGGGAUGAUGUCAGAUGGGUGGGAGGUCUCACGUGGGGUUCCAUAAGGAUCUGUUCUGGGUCUGGUCUUGUUUAACACCUCUAUAAAUGACCUGGAUGUAGGAAUAGGGAGCAUACUGACCAAAUUUGCAGAUACCACAAAGCUCGGGGGGUUGCCAACACAUUGGAGGAUAGAAAUAAAAUUCAGAGGGAUCUUGAUAAAUUGGAGCACUGGGCUAUUGACAACAAAAUUAAAUUCAGCAAAGACAAAUGUUAAGGUGAUACACUUAGGGAGGAAUAACCGAAUGCACAAAUACAGAAUGGGCAUAGGCGGCAUGUAACUCUCUCAUUUAGGGAGGCUUACGGGAGCACCAGAAGCUCGCUAGCAGUGGGGGGGCACCAGUGCCCGGACCAUGGCCUCAUCCUCUGCUCUGCGCCGAGGCUCUUCCCUGUGAGGCUCUGCCCCCGCUCUGCCACUUCCCCUGAGGUCCUGCCUGAUUGCUGCUCGCUCCUCUCUGCCCCCUCCCCCCCGUUGCAUGCCCUUAAGUUGGAAAAUAAAGAGAUGGGGCCAUGGCCCCUUGGCUCCCCCUGUUCCAGCACCCCUUAACUGAGUUGCUCUGGCAUCAGUACACACAGCCUCCCAGUGGCUGGCCCAGCUGUGGGACUCCUCUUCCUGUUGUGCAUGGGGAGGGAGU